AAAGCCUCAUGGUAUCACAUUAUUGCUAGACACCAAACACUUGUUUAUCCCAGGGAACAUGUCCCCGACCCACCCAUGUGGUGAACAUCUGCAAUAGAGAGAGAGAGAGAGAGCACAAAAAACCUAUAAUAAUCAAAUCACCCGCACGCUUUAUAAAACACAGUUGAACUUAUCAAAGCACACUUUUUAAACACACAGAACGGAAAUUAGCAGAGUUGUCACAUGCUUUUGUAACACACAUGAUGCAGCAACAACUCACAGGCACACAGUUUAUUCUCUCUGCCCUAUAGGUAAAAUUAUGAUCACGUGGGUUUAGUUGGGGGACCUUUCUGUCUCGUCUUCUUGCUCUUCAUUACAAUGCAUGUCAUUCGGUAGAUCGCAGAGCUGCCCGGCCUGUUGCAGAACAAAGUGGCACAACGCUGGAGGCACCCAAAUCUAAAUUCUAACUCGCAUAUAGACUCUAAAAACCCAUUCUAAGACAUCACUUCAAAAUGUGCGACAUUGGUGAUGUAGUAGUGGUGGGGUUCACUGUAUUCUGAAAUGAAAUCAUGUGUGACGAAGCACAUUUCAAGCGUUUUAUCUGGUGAGGAGCGGACAGGGUGGUUCGGAUGAAAAAACUGUGUGAGUGAGUGAGAAAGCAGAAAAAGAAUAAGUGUGUGGCGUGUAAGCAGAGGUGGUGAGGAGGCGAAUGUGGAUGAAGUGGGAGAUUGGCUCUGGGCAUACAACGGAAAAAGCGCAUGAAGGCGUAGAAAGUCAUUGUGAACGCAGAUGCUCUUGAACUGAACCCCAAAGACUGUCAGUGAUAAGCUCCACCCGCUCUAUUUAUAUGGACACAGAACGCUGUAACCUUCCACACAAAAUAGUUCCAAACAAGUAACAAUCGCGUCAGUGGCAUACAUCGUAUAACUGAAUGAUACAGAGAGAGAGAGAGAAGCACAGAUAACUUUGGUCUUGUCAGUGGAGCAAUAUGGCAACUUUUUAAAAGUAAACUUUCCAUUCAUAAACUCUUUAAGUAUCCGUUUUCGGUGUCUCGCGCUGCCAUGGCUGGCAAAACGGACAUGGGCGUGGACUUCUGCAGCUCGCUUGUUGUUUUGUUUCAGGUGUAUUUAUAGAGCAACGUAACAUCCGCUUGUGACGUGUGCCGCGUUAAUCUCGCGAGAAAAAAAUUUAAUUUGAAUUUUUAAAAUUCAUUAAAUUAAUGCCAAUAAAAACGCGCUAAACUGACAGCUCUCUCUCUCUCUCUCUCUCUCUCUCUCUCUCUCUCUCUCUCUCUCUCUCUCUCUCUCUCUCUCUCUAUAUAUAUAUAUAUAUAAAUAUAUAAUAUGUGUGUGUGUGUGUGUGUGUGUGUGUGUGUGUGCGAACGCUCCGGUGAGAGUUGGAGAGCCCUGUUUGAAGGAGCCAACAGCACCACAUCAUCUGCAAAAAGCAGGGAUGCAAUACUGUGGCCACCAAAACGGACCCUCUCAACGCUUCGACUGCGCCUAGAAAUUCUGUCCAAAAAGGUUAUGAACAGAAUCGGCGACAAAGGGCAGCCUUGGCGGAGUCCUACCCGCCAUACUAUAUAUAUAUAGAUAUAUAUAUGUAUAUAUACAAUACAAUACAAUACAUGCUGAUUUAUACAGCACUUUCACAACAGUGGGAGCUGUAACAAAGCGCUUAACAAAACAGUAACAUAAAGUAAAAUAAUAAACACAACACAUAACAUAAAACCUCGGAUAUAUAUUUAUAUAUAUAUACACACACAGACAUACACACGACUCUACGCAUGCUUUAGAAAUGGACAGCUUUAUAAAUGUAAUGCUGUAUUCACCCAAAACAACAUUGUCUGUACAUUCAGUGUAAAAUGUUUCAUUCAUCUUUGUCAAAAAGUGCUUAAUUUUUCCACGGUUGGGCAUUUAUUUGAGUAAUUUUUUAUUAGUGUACUGUAAGAAAUUGGCUGGCAAGCAGUUCAGUGUGUGUGUCUCGUAAGGAAAAAGCAGAUUCGAAAAUGGAUGGAUGGACGGAUACUUUCAGAGCAUUCUAAAGCAUUCAGGACUAGCUCCCUGAAGUCACAUGUAGAAAAUGCCAUUGGUUUUUUUUGUGUCUCUAUCUCAAUUAAAUAUGAAAUCCAGAAUAGGUUUCCCAGUGGUAACGUAAUCACUGGACACACAGAGUCCAUCCUUAAUGUUCAGUCCCCAUCGUUAAACAUCAUAACCUGGAUCCCAAUUACUGGUAGGUUUGGUGUAAGCACCCCACAUUAAUUAUGCCCUCUGAUGAGUUGAACUUGUGUGCUGCUGCUGCAAUAACAGAUCUACAUUGUGUUAAAUGUCAGCAUCAUUACAGACCAGCAUGUCCUGAUGUGUGUGUGUCUGUGUGUGUGUUGCCUGAUAUGACCAAAAAAAAAUAAACGAAUGGAGGUGCACAGAAAGGAUGGAGAGUGACUCUGUCACCGAUGCAGCCUACAGGCCAUCUUUCUUCAGUUUGACACUGCAGUGUCAUUACUGCAUUUCCAGAUGAGUGGCAGACUGAUGAGAGACAGGAGUGUGCAAAAAAGUGUGUUCCAAAUAUUGAUAAACAAAGCUAUUCAUGGUCAAAUAAAAAAUGGAUUUGUACGCAGUUGUGUCUUCAGAUCCAAAUGAGCAGACUCAGGAGAUUUUUGGCUCAAGCUGUUAGUUUUUUUGUUUGUUUUUUGUUUUACUUUGACUUGUGAACAAGAAUUUGAGAUAUGAGCUUUGUUGGCGGUGAACACUCUCAUUUCAACUCAUUUCACAACAAGCAAGAGUUUGGCAAACUGAACAAUUCUUCCAAAAGCAGUAUAGCAAACUAAGCAUGAAACAAAGAGGCUGAAACAUUGUGUGUUUUAAACCACUUCAUAACUUUUUACCGAAAAUGCGCUCGCUUAAUGCCAACCCAUAAUGGCAAGCACUGGAGACAGGCUGCAUCUAUAAGAUAAGAUAAGAUAAGAUAAGAUAAGAUAAGAUAAGAUAUCCUUUAUUAUAGCUCAGGACCAACCAAUUUUUCUGUGUUGUAAAGUGAAAAAGAAAACCGAAUGGACAUAUUAAAGUGGCAAAGUCAAACUGUCAAACGUUCUGCAUGUGAUUUAUAUCUUUAUUGUAAAUGUUAAGGGACACAAACUUAAAUAUUUUCUCGUAUCUCCAUUUGUGCAAUGAUGUUGAAACUAAAGUUGUGCGUGUGGAGAGACAAUAUAACAACAUUCACAAUCACAGGCAUCUGUUCUUUAUCCUCUGCACAGAAAAAUCACUUACAGUGGUUGAGAAAUUCUUCAUUAGUGUCUGCAUCACAUGUAUUACACUGACCCCCCCCCACCCCCCCCCAUUGGCAUUUUAAUGUGGUUUUUGUGAGUUGUUUUUUUUUGUGGAUCGGCAAAGCCAAAAUGCAAUUUAAAAAAAAUGCACACAAAGUACAUUUUUAUUUAUUAAAUUGUAAUGGACAUUUGCCCCAAUCAAAACAUUUAUGCUAUUCUCGGUUGUAGAUGCGAGAAAUAUGAUUAGUAGCUAGCGCAUGGCAUCAGGGAAAGGUGCUAAGAAGGGUGAGGUUAGGCCGAUAAGAGGUGAAAUAAAUACGAAGGGCGAGCAUCAAGUUUCAGGAGAGAGGCGGUGAGGAGGGUGUGAGAGUGGCUUGAACAAAUCUAAAAGCUUUCUAAGCAUAUAUAAAUGAGCUGAGGAACAAAGCUGAUUUCAGCUAAAGGAGGUUAUCAAUAUUUUUAUCAAUCUGCUUGAAGCCCACUGACGAAGUAAAAUCAGCAACAGAAAAAAAACAGAACAAUACAAAUGUGGCAUUUUAUGAUGCCAGUAGCUCAUGGUCUUAAACAGGUGCAAUUGCAUAUGGGGUUAAUAAUUGAAAAUGAUUUCAAAAAAGAAAAAAAUAUAGUUUGAAGAACUGGUUAAAAUAUGACAAGUGGCUUCAUAAAUACAAUAAUACAAUAGUGGUAAGCGGGAUGGGUCAUUUACAACUUAUAUUAAACUAGCUGGUUCGCCGUCCUCCGGGCGGCUCAUCAGCUAGUUCCUGCGGAAGGCUGGUAAGGUGGGCCUUCGGCCCACAAAAAGUGUUGUUUCUUGGUUCAACUUUUUGUUCAUCUUCAUUGCUUAUCGCGAAAAUAAAGAGAUGUUUAGCUCUACUAAAUAACUAACAAUUUCAUUGCAAUGCUUGUGGGUAGACAACAUUUUUUCGCAAAGAUGCCCGCGCGAUCGUAGUGAGCCACUGCCUGAGCGGCGCAGUGGCGGCGCGCAGUGGCGGCGCGCAGCGGCGCGGUGAAGUAGGUACGUUUUGAAAAGGGACAGACGGAAGGACACACCGCGUGCGGGACGACGCGCAAUAUAUAUAUAGAUAUUAGCCGCUACGGCAUUAAUUACUCACCCAUACAUUGUGAAUUAAAAAAUGAAAAUGUUCAGGAGCAUGUGCAUGGAUGGAAGGACAGAGCUGUGAAGCUGAUGUCUAAAUAAAAGUUUGACCAAGCGUGCAUUUGCUGAAUGAUGUCAUAAAGACCAUGUGUGAACUCAACCUUGACUGUCUUAAUCAGGUACGCACUGUAUGGAUGUUAUCAUUUUUAAGAACAUGGGGAAAAAAAUACCUUACCUACUUAUACACAAUAACAAACUUGAAAGCUGUGCUCUGGGGUUCAACCCAUAUAAAUGACAAUCAUAAACAACAACAACAACAUCUGUUGUUUUCGCAUACCAGUUCCUCCCCUGAAAAAGGAGGCCAGGCAGCAAAGAGUCCUCCAUCUUGUCUUCCCGCUCCAGUUGCCAUGACAAUGGUGCACAGUGCGCCUGUCCCCUGGGAGACACGAAAAAAAAAGAAGAGAAAAUUAGACGACUCGGAGAAGCGGGAAAACGACGUGCGGGAGGAGUGAAAUACGGUGACGGAUGUAGGGGGACAAGAUGAUCAAAUGUCGAGAGAAAGCGAGAGGGCAGCAACUUCAACGGAACAAGGACAAAUGUUAGCAGAUUUGUCUCAACAAAAGAGAACACGACUCAUGACGAAAACCUGCAAGUAGGACCGGUGUAUACAUAGGCUGUGCAGAGAGACAGUAAUGCCACUUCUUCUGAACCGCUCGCUGCUUCACCUUGAAAGAAGUGAGCUCCUACAGAAUGAGGAAUGGUGGCCACCUUAACUCACUCGACCCAACGCUUACACAAAUAGCACUUUGCAUAUUUUAUUCGACAUGCUAUUUUUUUUUCGGCUUGACUCCACGCCUUUGUUGUACGGUGAGAUGAGACACAAACGGCAAUGAGAAGGUGUGGUUGCAUAUGCAGCAUAUUUGCUUCUGACUCUAUUCCUGCAAUGAUUUUGUGAUUUUGCUGCUGGAGUCCUCCUUGACAACCACCUUCAAUUUAUUCACUGGAUUCUCCUUGUCAUUUGAAUAAUGAUGAACACACUUUUAAACCUCUGUGUUGGAAGGUUGCCUUGGCUCUAAGCAUUGUUCAUAGUUCAAGUUGUUCAUAGUAUUUAUGAAGUCAGUUAUUUAGAAAACAGAUAUCAGUACGUGCAACUCAACAAUAAAAAAACGAAUCAACUGAAAAUCACUCACGGAGUACCUCAGGGGUCAGUGCUUGGUCCAAAACUAUUCAUCUUAUAUAUAAAUGAUAUCUGCAAGGUCUCAAAACUAUUUAAAUAUGUCCUAUUUGCUGAUGACACAACUUUCUACUGUUCUGGAAUAAAUCUGAAACAGCUCCUGACAACCGUAGAAAACGAAUUAAACAAAUUAAAAAACUGGUUCGACAGAAAUAAAUUGUCACUUAACCUGAAAAAAUCAAAGUCAAUUGUUUUUGGCACAAGACCAAUCAAACACCAAGCUAAAAUUAUGGUAAACUCAAUUGAAAUAGAAAGAGCGUAUGAAACCAAGUUUCUCGGAUUAGUAAUAGACUCAAAACUAUGUUGGAAACCACAUAUCGGUAACGUAAAAAGAAAAAUAGCCAAGACCGUAGGGAUCCUCUACAAAACCAAGGAAGUGCUAAAUAAGAGAUCCUUGUACACAUUAUACACUUCAUUAUUAUUACCAUACAUGACCUACUGUGUGGAAAUAUGGGGAAAUGCCUGCAAACCAAACACACUCCCUAUUCUCAAACUACAAAAAAAAGCAAUUCGAAUUAUUAAUAGAUCAAAAUAUACGGAACCCACAAAUCCACUAUUUAUCAAAUUAAAUACGAUGAAAUUUUAUGACCUGGUUGACUUUAAAAUCGCCCAAUUAAUGUACAAAGCACACAAUAACCUUCUCUGCCAAAACAUUCAGAAAUUUUUUGAAAUUCGAGAAAGCAACUAUGAAUUAAGAGGUACCAACUUAUUCAAAAAACUCAAAACAAGAACAAACAUCAAGCAAAGAAGUGUAUCUAGCAAAGGUGUUAAUCUGUGGAAUAAUCUCGAAACGGACCUAAAAAUGAGUAAAUCGCUUGCUGAGUUCAAAAACAAAUUCAAAAAAAUAGUACAAACAACCUACACCAAUCAGAGUUAAAAUGAUAAAUUCUAAACAUUAAAUAUAAUGAUAAAUCAGAACUAAGUUGAUAAAUAGAGAAAGGUAUUGCAAUAUCCAUUAUGAAUACAAGAGAAAAUUGACACAAGAGUGCCAGGGUGAGGAUGUAUAUAAUCCCGAUACAAACCAAAAGUUGUGAAAAUAUCACGGUUAAGGGUAAAGUAUGAGCCUUAAUGGAGACUUCUUCUUACUUUUUCUUUUCUGAUUGAUAUAAAAAUGAUUUAGUACAUAUAAACACAUAAUGGGGUAGGACUAGAUAAGUUUUUUUACUUCAUCCUACUCCCUUGAACAUAAUAACUGUGUUGAAUGAAGACUGAUUUCUUUCUUUUACUUUUUUAUCUACCUUAUUUUCUGUCAAAUUAUUACUGUAUAUGUUUUAUGUUCAAUAAACAAACAAACCAACCAACCAAUCAUUAUUCGGAAAGUGCAUAAAGAAAAUGCUGGAAGCCCGCGGAAGAGAAAUGGGCGUUAAAAUCCCGUAAAAAAUGGUAAUAAUCCGAAACAUGAAAAAAAAUUGAAAAAGAGAAAUAAA